CUGCUUCGCCGGCCGAAUGACGUCGCGGAGGUCCACAUCAACCUUAUCAUUUAGCAGGGAAGGGAGAAAGUCGCUAACAAGGUUUCCGUAGGUGAACCUGCGGUAAGGAUCAUUGUCGAAUCCUAUGGGAAAAACGACCAGAGAACCGGUUAAAAACUCGACGAGGACGGCGGGCUUCCGCUCGACGUCCCUCGAAACGCCCCGGGAUCGCGCGGGCGCCUCGUGCGCUCGGGCUUCCCGGCGGCGGAACAACGAACCCCGGCGCGGAAAGCGCCAAGGAACUCGAACAAGAGAGCGGAGCUCCCGUCGCCCCGGGCACGGUGCGCGAGCGGGACGCCACGCGAUCUCCCAUUAUCAUAACGACUCUCGGCAACGGAUAUCUCGGCUCUCGCAUCGAUAAGAACGUAGCGAACUGCGAUACUUGGUGUGAAUUGCAGAAUCCCGUGAACCAUCGAGUCUUUGAACGCAAGUUGCGCCCGAAGCCUUUUGGCCGAGGGCACGUUUGCCUGGGUGUCACACAUGGCGUUGCCCCAACCCCCCUCGCCCGAGCGGGAGUUGGGCGCGUAGGUUGGCCUCCCGCGACGCUCUCGUCCCGGUUGGCCUAAAAUCGAGCGUCCGUGCGAUGGCGCCACGACAUUCGGCGGUUGACCAGACCCCAAUGAUCAGGUGUCGCGCGCGCCCGCACGAGUCUCCGCGGAUCCGACCCCUUUAGCCAACGCGACCUCUCAGGUUCAACGCCGGGGGUACCCGCUGAGUUUAAGCAUAUCAAUAAG
rnacentral:rRNA from 1 species